GAAAGAGGCUCAGCUCAGAGACUGUAGAGCAGCGGUGCUGACAGGAGAGCAGAGGGCCUGUGCAGCAGCUGAAGCCCUUCUCCACAGAGGAGGAACAGAGCCAGCAGCAGAGACCUCGCAGCUCCUCUCAGCCCCUUCACUGGCCCAUCCUCCUAUGUGAGAGCCUGCUCGCAGAAUCUCCUUGCCACUGCUCAAGUCCCUACGGAACAAGCGAGGCCCAGUGCUGCUGAAGGAUCGGUCGCUCCUGUACGUUUUCAUAAUGUGUCAUAGAAUCUUCAAGGCUUUCUCUGGUACAAGUGGGAAGGACAAUGGUCAGCCAUCACACGGCCAGGGUCUGCAUGCAAUGGGAAAGAGGCAAUAUACCUGGAGGGAUCCCUGGUACCCUGGAACAUUACCCAAGGAGGACACGGGAUGCUACACCCUACUAACUUUAAGCUGGAGUUCUUAGAAAUGAAGAUAGUGACUCUCCACGACCUCCAGAUGCUGUGUGAGACUAACCCACUUCACUCACACACACACACACACACACACACACACACACACACACACACACACACACACGAUGGUCAAGUGUGGACAGUGGCUAUUGCCCCCAUGCAUUAUGUGGCACUAUUAGAGGGUGUGGCCUUGUUGGAGUGGGUGUGUCACUGUGGGUGUGGGCUUUAAUAUCCUCAUUCUAGCUUCCUGGAAGUCAGUAUUCUCCUAGCACUCUUCAGAUGAAGAUGUAGAACUCUCAGCUCUGCCUACAUCAUGCCUGCCUGGAUGCUGCCAUGCUUCCACCUUGAUAAUGGACUGAACCUCUGAACCUGUAAGGCAGCCCCAAUUAAAUGUUGUCCUUAUAAGAGUUGCCUGGACCUGGGGAUCCAUCCCAUAAUCAGCCUCCAAACGCUGACACCAUUGCAUACACUAGCAAGAUUUUGCUGAAAGGACCCUGAAAUAGCUGUCUCUUGGGAGGCUAUGCCGGGGCCUAGCAAACACAGAAGUGGAUGCUCACAGUCAGCUAUUGGAUGGGCCCCCAAAGGAGGAGCUAGAGAAAGUACCCAAGGAGCUAAAGGGUCUGCAACCCUAUAGGUAGAACAACAUUAUGAACUAACCAGUACCC
rnacentral:lncRNA from 1 species